AUACUGGGAUAUACUGGGAGGUACUGGGAUACACUGGGAUAUACUGGGAUGGUGAUACUGGGAUGUACUGGGAUGGACUGGGAUACACUGGGAUAUACUGGGAUGGAGAUACUGGGAUAUACUGGGAUGGAGGCACUGGGAUAUACUGGGGUAUAUGAGAUAUAUGGGAUAUAUGGGAUGGAAUGGGAUAUACUGGGAUAUACUGGGAUGGAGGCACUGGGAUAUACUGGGGUAUAUGAGAUAUAUGGGAUAUAUGGGAUGGAAUGGGACAUACUGGGACAUACUGGGAUAUACUGGGAUAUACUGGGAUAUACUGGGACAUACUGGGAUAUACUGGGAUGGUGGCUCUGGGACAUACUGGGAUAUAUGAGAUAUAUGGGAUAUAUGGGAUGGAAUGGGACAUACUGGGACAUACUGGGAUACACUGGGAUGGUGGCACUGGGAUAUACUGGGACAUACUGGGAUACACUGGGAUGGUGGCACUGGGAUAUACUGGGACAUACUGGGAUAUACUGGGCUAUACUGGUAUGGUGGCACUGGGAGCUGCCUGUUUCUGCCCACCCCCACCCCAGGGUCCAUUUGGGGCCAUGGCAGCUCCACCCCACAGCGCUGCCCCACGGUGCCCCCCACCCCCGCCCUCCACAAAGGGCCCAUUGUGGGGCACCACGACCCCCCCCCACCCCACAACCACGCUAUAGGGCACAGUGACGUCAGUUGGGGGGGGGAGGUGGGGGCGGAUAAAGGGUCCCUUAUGGCCAUGGGGUGGGGGGGGCAUCAUUUGAGUGUCUCUAUGGCACAAUGUGCUUCUCCUGGGGGGGGGUCCCAUUUGUGUCCCCCCAUUGGGGCUGUCCUUAUGGGGUUCCCCAUUGUCUCCAUCCCUAUGGGGUGCUGUGAUAUGGGGGGGGGGCGGUUAUGGUGCUGUGCCCCCCCACUCAUCCCAAUGGCUUUGUGUGUGUCCCCCCCC
rnacentral:lncRNA from 1 species